GUGGAGCGCAGGGAGGGCGCGCAGCAAGGGCGGCCGCCGUUACGGCGCGGGCGUGGUCACGUGGCCGUCGGUCACCGCUGCCACCGCCCCCUCCCGCCCUGUUCUCUUUCUGGUCGGGUCGGGCCCGGCCGGCACCACGAGCGCCCUGCAGAGACUGAGGGAGAGAGAAAGAGGAGGGGAGGAGGAGGAGGAGGAUUCAGGGAGUAGGAGCUGGGGAGCCCUCCCGCGCCACAGAAAAUUAAAUUUCCAGAGACUUGGUGAAGAUAGGAAAACUAUCAGAAAGACUAUAGCACUAUUGUACUACUUGUGGAGGAGACCUCUGUUGUACAGAGCCUGAAGUCAUCUAUGAUCCAUAACAAGAGCAUAAGUUUUCAAGUGUCAGUUAGAUUUGUGGAUCAGUAAAGUUUUCCUGAUAGGUAGUCACUUUUGGUGACAGUGUCCAGUUCUCAAAAUGUAUCAUUCCUUAUCUGAAACUAGACAUCCUCUGCAGCCAGAAGAACAAGAAGUGGGCAUUGAUCCUUUGUCUAGCUACUUAAACAAGCCUGGAGG
rnacentral:lncRNA from 1 species